rnacentral:tRNA from 1 species
AAGAAAUUAGUUUAAUAUAAAACAUUAGCCUGUCAGACUAAAAAUAUUUAAUUAAUAUUUCUUA